UUUGACAGUCAACAGUCUAUUGUCCGCUGGCAGUGAGUGCCCGGAUGUCCACUAGUCUGCCUUUUGCAGAGCGGGAGAGGAGUUCUACAGCGUUAAAACGUAAACAUAUGGAAA